CCUACGGGAGGCAGCAGUGAGGAAUAUUGGUCAAUGGACGCAAGGCUGAACCAGCCAUGCCGCGUGCAGGAAGACGGCUCUAUGAGUUGUAAACUGCUUUUGUACGAGGGUAAACGCAGAUACGCGUAUCUGUCUGAAAGUAUCGUACGAAUAAGGAUCGGCUAACUCCGUGCCAGCAGCCGCGGUAAUACGGAGGAUUCAAGCGUUAUCCGGAUUUAUUGGGUUUAAAGGGUGCGUAGGCGGUCGGAUAAGUUAGAGGUGAAAUCCCGAGGCUCAACUUCGGAAUUGCCUCUGAUACUGUUCGGCUAGAGAGUAGUUGCGGUAGGCGGAAUGUAUGGUGUAGCGGUGAAAUGCUUAGAGAUCAUGCAGAACACCGAUUGCGAAGGCAGCUUACCAAGCUACUUCUGACGUUGAGGCACGAAAGCGUGGGGAGCAAACAGGAUUAGAUACCCCUGUAGUC
rnacentral:rRNA from 1 species